rnacentral:misc_RNA from 1 species
AUAUACUGUAUUUUAAUCCUUGUGUCAAUACAUCCACGUUAUGCACGAGAUUUUGCAUAAAUCGCACGGACUAUCCGCAUGUCGAACUCGGUGUCGACGAUUCCUACAAGUGACUAUGUAUACAGCGCAUUAUACAGAUUCAUACUACCAAUGUUUCAUAUAUCGAACAGCUGACAAUCUCUACUAAGUUGACUAACUGGCGGAACGACGAAACUGAAACAUCAAAUUUUAUUUAAUACAUUUUAUUGUCAUGACAACUAAUAUGAAUAAUUAAACACUGUUAUAAUACUUUUUCUGUCGUUCUUUAUUAUACUUUAUUUUGUAGUUAUUAUAUUAAUAAAAUCAUUUCUUAUAUCUCGACAAACC